CCUACGGGUGGCUGCAGUGGGGAAUAUUGCACAAUGGGCGCAAGCCUGAUGCAGCCAUGCCGCGUGUGUGAAGAGGGCCUUCGGGUUGUAAAGCACUUUCAGCGGGGAGGAAGGCGGUGAGGUUAAUAACCUCAUCGAUUGACGUUACCCGCAGAAGAAGCACCGGCUAACUCCGUGCCAGCAGCCGCGGUAAUACGGAGGGUGCAAGCGUUAAUCGGAAUUACUGGGCGUAAAGCGCACGCAGGCGGUCUGUCAAGUCGGAUGUGAAAUCCCCGGGCUCAACCUGGGAACUGCAUUCGAAACGGGCAGGCUAGAGUCUUGUAGAGGGGGGUAGAAUUCCAGGUGUAGCGGGGAAAUGCGUAGAGAUCUGGAGGAAUACCGGGGGCGAAGGCGGCCCCCUGGACAAAGACUGACGCUCAGGUGCGAAAGCGUGGGGAGCAAACAGGAUUAGAUACCCUUGAGUC
rnacentral:rRNA from 1 species